rnacentral:rRNA from 1 species
UACGAAGGGUGCAAGCGUUACUCGGAAUUACUGGGCGUAAAGCGUGCGUAGGUGGUUUGUUAAGUCUGUUGUGAAAGCCCCGGGCUCAACCUGGGAAUGGCAAUGGAUACUGGCAAGCUAGAGUGCUGGUAGAGGGUAGUGGAAUUCCCGGUGUAGCGGUGAAAUGCGUAGAGAUCGGGAGGAACACCAGUGGCGAAGGCGGCUACCUGGACCAGCACUGACACUGAGGCACGAAAGCGUGGGGAGCAAACAGG